rnacentral:rRNA from 1 species
UAGGGAAUCUUCCACAAUGGACGCAAGUCUGAUGGAGCAACGCCGCGUGAGUGAAGAAGGCUUUCGGGGUCGUAAAAACUCUGUUAUUGAAGAAGAACGUGUGUGACAGUAACUGGUCAUGCAGUGACGGUAUUCAAUCAGAAAGUCACGGCUAACUACGUGCCAGCAGCCGCGGUAAUACGUAGGUGGCAAGCGUUGUCCGGGUUUAUUGGGCGUAAAGCGAGUGCAGGCGGUC